rnacentral:rRNA from 1 species
GACGAACGCUGGCGGCGUGCCUAAUACAUGCAAGUUGAGCGAUGAAGAUUGGUGCUUGCACCAAUUUGAAGAGCAGCGAACGGGUGAGUAACGCGUGGGGAAUCUGCCUUUGAGCGGGGGACAACAUUUGGAAACGAAUGCUAAUACCGCAUAACAACUUUAAACAUAAGUUUUAAGUUUGAAAGAUGCAAUUACAUCACUCAAAGAUGAUCCCGCGUUGUAUUAGCUAGUUGGUGAGGUAAAGGCUCACCAAGGCGAUGAUACAUAGCCGACCUGAGAGGGUGGUCGGCCACAUUGGGACUGAGACACGGCCCAAACUCCUACGGGAGGCAGCAGUAGGGAAUCUUCGGCAAUGGACGAAAGUCUGACCGAGCAACGCCGCGUGAGUGAAGAAGGUUUUCGGAUCGUAAAACUCUGUUGGUAGAGAAGAACGUUGGUGAGAGUGGAAAGCUCAUCAAGUGACGGUAACUACCCAGAAAGGGACGGCUAACUACGUG